AUAAAAGCUAAAACGUCGAUCCAGAAGACGGUUAAUUUUAUCUUGAGAGAUGGGACUGUAUCAAUUGCGGAGGACGCAAACGAUAUCCAGCUCACUGUCCAAAGAAACCUUCUGUUAUCUACAUAUUCAGUCUUCAGCAUUCACAUCUAAAAAUGGGUUCAAUACUUAGACGGAGAAUUGCUGCAUACCCCCAAAUCAGGAAAUUAUUUCACCAGUAAUUGUUUCAUGGGCGGAUAAAAGGUUGAUACGCCCCAUCCUGAGGGAUACCUUUUUGGAGAAAAUAUGGAUUUGAAUUUCCUAGGCAACAGACCUGUGCAGUCUCCCUAUGUCACCCCUGCACCGCAGGAGCCAGUGAGGACGUUAAGGACAUCAGGAAGGAUUCUUUACGUCUUGUAGGGUAGUUUUGACAUUAUAGUUUGUUGUAAAGGGUUGUCUUAAAGGUUAUUUCAAAGUAGUAUUUGCACUUUAGAAUAUUCUUGUUAACGUCUUGUUUUUGACACUUUAAGAAAAAACUCUGGAUCUAAAUGCUGAUUGUUCAAUACAGUUCACCAAGCUUCUGUUUAUAACACUGCAUUGGGACCAUAGAGACUAGCUAUUUACCUUAGUUUACAUGUCAAGGACAUGUUCUUUUAGUGGACAGAUGGUACUUACUGAAUUUACUUUAAAAUAAUGAUUUAAUGAAAAUGUAAUGAUCUUAAUAUUUUGUAUUAUAUACCUGUAUAUUUAUUAUGCAGACACUCAGCCGUGUGUCAUUCCUGACACUCUUGAGCCAUGCGUGAAUAUAUUUAUAAUAUAGAACGGCCUUUAAUACCUAAUUGCUUAACACUAUGCUGAAAAAAAAGAGAAAUGGGUGGGAUUUUGACAGUCAACUUCAACAGUCUGUUUUGUUUUCAAAACAUCCUCUCAAUUUUCCAGUUACAAGGAUGAUUCUGACAGCACACAAGAGAUCCAAGAGUCCUUUACAGUGUUGAAUUUUGCUUUUGAUACUGAUGCCAGAGUGUCAAUUACACUAUACUGCCAGGCCUUUGAGGAGUUUGCCAAUGGAAUGGCAAUGGCAGAGUAGUCCAUAGGGUAACUUUUCUGCAGUUAAAUGAUAAUGCAUGUUGCUAAAUCAGUGUGUUUUCACCAAUGCCUGUUGUUCACUUUGUGAAUAAAUGAAUUUCUUACAGCAUACCAGAAGAUUAGAAGAUAGAAACUUUGAAGUCUCAGUUGCUUUCAAGAAUCACUUGUGAUGUUUGAGUCCAAAGAAUCAUAACCACAUAACAGCUCUCUUAGCAAUUUAAUUAACCAUGGAGACAGUGGUGCAAUUAUUGCUUGGUCUUCGUGAAUACAAACGAUAAAGCUCUUUUGUGGAUCAUAACUUCAAGUUUCACUCUUUGUCUAUAUGUUUGUGAGAAAUGAUGAAUUGAACAUUACUAUGCAAUGAUAGCUGCACAUAUGCUCAGACAUGUUGGUGAAAACCACAAAAAAAAUAUUUUUUUAAAGAUACAGCCCCAAGAACCCUUCAGUGGUUUCUGAGAUGGUCCAAUAUAUGAGAGGGAUGAAUCAACAAUUUUCUCUGCCAUCAUUCAAGAUUGAUUUUGACAAAUGGAAGCCUGAAGAGAUAUCACAGGGCAUGCACAUGUUCUCUUGGCAGCCUUUGAAAGGG